rnacentral:lncRNA from 11 species
AUGGCUGCAUGGAAGGCUCCCAGUCUGGGAACUGCUGCUCAAAAGCACCUGGAUGCCUCAGCUGGAUUCCCAAUACAAGCACCUGCUUUGCACAGGUGUCAGAGAUGCCUUGUGGGUGUGGGAAUCUAUCAGUCCUUCCUUUUAACUUUAAAAAAUGCCCACACACAUCAAUCUCGCACUUUGACAGGAAGGCAUCGAAUCCAAGCCCUCUCUAAAUGUCAGAAUGGUAGCCAAUGCCAUAUCGACAUAAAAAGUAGGCUUUUCAAGAAGAAAAUUCUUAAGAGCGAGGUCAGGAGGGUGCUGCAAGAGCCAAAUGGCGCCCUUUGCCUUCUUUGCCUCUACAGGAGCCCGACGAAGCGCAAGUCCACACCGCUGCUCAGACGCCCCAUUCUUCGGCCGGAAGGGUCAGGGGUGGGCGCCGAAGGGGAGGAAAAACUGUCCGCGGCUUCCUCCUCCUCGCUCCCUCCUUCCUUCCGCUCCCUCCUUCCCUCAGACUUACCGGCCGGAACGCUGAGGCGGCGGGCCCACUUUCUCGGCCGCCGGCUGCGCCGUUCACGCGUCGCCUUGCGCGCUGACGUCACUUAGCAACGGCGCCCCAGCUGGCCUACGCGCUGACGUCCAAAGUGACGUCAGAGGGCUGGCUGAAAAAAGGAGGAUUCAUAAUUCCGUAGAGUUAUGAAACAGCUAGAGUGCUGCUCUUCACUCUUUUACGACUGAAAGGCGCAGAAGAAAAAGGAGGCGUCACUUCAGUACAAAGCUUGUGGAUUUUUUACUUUAUAAUAUUUUUUAUUUAUCAAUCAUCUGGGCUAUUUUAUAUUAAUCAUCUCGCUUAUUUGUUUUAUAUUGUGAUUUGUUUUUUUCAUUUUAUUAUUUGGAUAAUUUGUUUUUACAAUUGUACAGUUUUUUUAUUAAGUCUUUUUUUAAAAAAAAAACGAAAUCAUCGCAAGUUUUCGAAAAACUCGAAAGUCCUUUUUUAAAAAAUAAAUAAAUAAAAGGUAUCUAUGGGAAAUCUUUAAAAAAUAUCAAAUUAUUUAAAAAUUCCAUUAUCCUAAAAUCAAAGGGUUGCUGUGAGUUUUCCGGGCUGUAUGGCCAUGUUCCGGAAGCAUUCUCUCCUGACGUUUCGCCCACAUCUAUGACAGGCAUCUUCAGAGGUGUGAGGACUGUUGGAAACUAGGCAAUUGGGGUUUGUAUAUCUGUGGAAAAUCCAGUGUGGGAGAAAGAACUCUUGUCUGUUGGAAGGAUCACCUUGAUUAGCAUUUGAAGCCUUGCAGCUUCAAAGCCUGGCUGCUUCCUGCCUGGAGGAAUCCUUUGUUGGGAGGUAAUUAGCAGGAUUGUUUCCUGUCUGGAAUUUCCCUGUUUUUGAGUGUUGUUUUUCAUUUACUGUCCUGAUUUUAGGGUUUUUAAAAUACUGGUGGCCAGAUUGUUUCCUGUCUGGAAUUCCCGUUAUUGAGUGUUGUUCAAAAAUAGGGGGUGCUUUGAAUGUAAUUUUCCUUCUUCUUGGGAGGGAGUUGGACUGGAUGGCCCAUAAGGCCACUUCCUACUCUAUGAUUCUAUGAUUUUGUUCAUUUAUAUGGUUUCCUCCAUUCUGUUGAAAUCAUCCAUAUGCUUCUUAAGGAUUUCAAUGCCUUCUCUGUGUAGUCGGGCAUGGUGGUUGUUAGAGUGGUACAGGAUUUGUGUGCUCUCAAAUAAUAUGCUGUGUCAGGGUUGGUUCAUCAAAUGCUCUGCUAUGGCUACACAAACCUACAUUAAAAACUCCCACCAUCAUACAAGUCAAAAAAAGAAGCACAUUUAAAGCCCUGGCAGACCAUGCAAAAAGAAUCUGUGAACCUCGCCUCCUCCAAAGUGAACUGAACCAUCUAAACUGGGCUCUACAUGCCAAUGGAUACUCCACCACGAACAUCAGAAGAGCUGCAAGACCAAGAACAAGCCAUGAGAGUCAAGACAAAGAUCCACCCAGAGGAAAAGUGUUCUUUCCAUACAUCAAGGGAACCACUGACCACAUGGGGAAGCUGAUGAAGAAACACAACCUACAAACUAUCUACAGACCCACUAACAAAUGCUAUGUUCAGCAAACAAAAGGGAUCCUCUCACCUCUGCAGGAGUCUACCCUAUACCAUGCAGCUGUGGACAAGUCUACAUAGGGACCACCAAAUGCAGCAGCGCCCAAACACGAAUCAAGGAACAUGAAAGGCACUGCAGACUAACCCAACUUGAGAAGUCAGCCAUAGCAGAGCACGUGAUGACACAGCACAUUAUUUGAGAACGCAGAAAUACUGGACCACUCUAACAACCACUAUAUCAGACUACACUGAUUAUUAAUUCAGGUUCAUUGGUUGUUGGUUUGAUGGUUGCUCUUAUACUCUGUUAUAAUGUUGUUUUAUUCUGUUUUAUACUGUUGUUUAUAUAUUUUAGUAUGUUAUAUUUUAACUAUGUUGAUCAGGCUCACCCCCAUGUAAGCAACCCUGAGUCCCUCUGGGGAGAUGGAGGCAGGGCACAAAAAUGAAGUUAUUAUUAUUAUUAUUAUUAUUACUGCUACUACGACUACUACUACA